rnacentral:tRNA from 1 species
GCCCAUGUAGCUCAGUGGAUAGAGCGAUCGUUUCCUAAGCGAUAGGCCGCAGGUUCGAUCCCUGCCUCGGGUG